CCCACACAGUGCCUGGCAAAUGUAGCAUGACACAAUUCCUUCAAGACUUCCCAGCCUGCAGGAGGGAGUCGCUGGCUAAACCUGGAUACAGGCCGGGAUGCUACAACUUGCUGGUUGCUCAACUCUAGAUGGUCAACUGUCCGUUCCCAGAGCUUUGGUUUCCUCAUGCUGGCAGAUCAUCACUGAUGUCCAUUCCUUCCAGGUGUUUAGUUCGUAGGCCAGUCCUGAGUUGUUGAGUGAGAAAGUAGGAAGAGUACGCAGUGAUAACAUGAGGAGCAGAACAGAAGACUCUUUUGUGUGACCUGGAACCAAAGGUCAUCAUGCUGGGGCAGAGUGUGGAUAGGAGGCAGAAGGGACUACAUUUCAUGAGCACUUGUUAUAUAUAAGAAGUGUUAUUGGCUGGGCGCGGUGGCUCACGCCUAUAAUCCCAACACUUUGGGAGGCCGAGGCAUGAGGAUCACCUGAGGUCGAGAGUUCGAGACCUCGAGACCAGUCUGGCCAACAUGGUGAAACCCUGUCUCUAUUAAAAAUACAAAAAUGAGCUGCGCGUGGUGGUGUAUGCCUGUAAUCCCAGCUACUUGGGAGACUGAGCAGGAGAAUCGCUUGAACCCAGGAGGCAGAGGUUGUGGUGAGCUGAGAACAUACCAUUGCACUCCAACCUGGGCGACAGAGCAAAACUCUGUCAAAAAGAAAAAAAAAAAAAAAAAAGAAGUGUUAUUGAUGUAUAAUAAAAGCUAAUGUCUGCUGUGCCCCUUUCGUAUGCCUGGAGCUAUGCGUGUACUUUCC
rnacentral:lncRNA from 10 species